GGUUGUGACCAUACCAGCACCAGUGCAUCAGAUCCCAUCAGAACACUGCAUUUAAGCGUGCUUGGGCGAGAGUAGUACUGGGAUGGGUGACCUCCUGGGAAGUCCUUGUGUUGCACCCC